ACAAGGCACAAAUCCACCGUCUCUGAAUUUCUUUCCAAGAAUUAUGAUUGGUUUUUUGAAGAGUACAAUACUCGAUUGCUAGAAUCUAACAGUUAUUUCACUAGACGACUUGCCAUUAAGUUAUUGGCGGAUAUGUUACUGGAUCGCUCCAAUUCU